rnacentral:ribozyme from 1 species
GAAAGCCGUAUUCGAUGAAAGUCGUAUGUACGGCUUGGAACGAAAUGUUCCAAAUGUUCCUGGAAAUUCUUGCUCCCAUUGGACCAUUUGUAU